rnacentral:rRNA from 1 species
UUCGCCCUUAGAGUUUGAUCCUGGCUCAGGAUGAACGCUGGCGGCGUGCCUAACACAUGCAAGUCGAACGGGGGUCAUAUGACGGAAGUCUUCGGACGGAAGUGGUGUGACUCGAGUGGCGGACGGGUGAGUAACACGUGAGCAACCUGCCUUUUGCUGGGGAAUAACUGUGGGAAACCAUGGCUAAUACCGCAUAUUGUACUGACUGGGCAUCCGGUUGGUAUGAAAGGAGAAAUCCGGCAGAAGAUGGGCUCGCGUCCGAUUAGGUAGUUGGUGGGGUAACGGCUCACCAAGCCUACGAUCGGUAGCCGGACUGAGAGGUCGAACGGCCACAUUGGGACUGAGAUACGGCCCAGACUCCUACGGGAGGCAGCAGUGGGGAAUAUUGGGCAAUGGGGGAAACCCUGACCCAGCGACGCCGCGUGAAGGACGAAGGCUUUCGGGUUGUAAACUUCUUUGGGGAGGGACGAAAUUGACGGUACCUCCAGAACAAGCCACGGCUAACUACGUGCCAGCAGCCGCGGUAAUACGUAGGUGGCAAGCGUUAUCCGGAUUUACUGGGUGUAAAGGGCGCGCAGGCGGUUCUGGAAGUCAGAUGUGAAAGAUCAAGGCUUAACUUUGACAGGUCAUCUGAAACUUUGGGACUUGAGUAUCAGAGGGGAAAGUGGAAUUCCUGGUGGAGCGGUAAAAUGCGCAGAGAUCAGGAGGAACACCGGUGGCGAAGGCGACUUUCUGGCUGACAACUGACGCUGAGGCGCGAAAGCGUGGGGAGCAAACAGGAUUAGAUACCCUGGUAGUCCACGCUGUAAACGAUGAAUACUAGGUGGGGGGGGAGUGACCCCUUCCGUGCCGCAGUUAACACAAUAAGUAUUCCACCUGGGGAGUGCGAUCGCAAGGUUGAAACUCAAAGGAAUUGACGGGGGCCCGCACAAGCAGUGGAUUAUGUGGUUUAAUUUGAAGCAACGCGAAGAACCUUACCAGGGCUUGACAUCCAACUAACGAAGCAGAGAUGCAUUAGGUACCCUUCGGGGGAAGUUGAGACAGGUGGUGCAUGGUUGUCGUCAGCUCGUGUCGUGAGGUGUUGGGUUAAGUCCCGCAACGAGCGCAACCCCUAUUAUUAGUUGCUACGCAAGAGCACUCUAGCGAGACUGCCGUUGACAAAACGGAGGAAGGUGGGGAGGACGUCAAAUCAUCAUGCCCCUUAUGUCCUGGGCUACACACGUAAUACAAUGGCGCAUUAACAACGGGAGGCGAAGCCGCGAGGUGGAGCAAAUCCCCAAAAGGCGUCUCAGUUCGGAUUGCAGGCUGCAACUCGCCUGCAUGAAGUCGGAAUUGCUAGUAAUCGCGGAUCGGCAUGCCGCGGUGAAUACGUUCCCGGGCCUUGUACUCACCGCCCGUCA